AUAGAUGACAUUUGGUUGUCCAAUAACCUUCAUCCUAGGCGGGAUCUAAUAAGGACGUAAGGCCAAUCAGAGGCGGCGUUGCCUCUGUGGCUCCACGUCGGCACCAGCUGCUGGGCAAGAUGGAGGCGCUGAUUUUGGAACCCUCCCUGUAUACCGUCAAAGCCAUCCUGAUUCUGGACAAUGAUGGAGAUCGACUUUUUGCCAAGUACUAUGACGACACCUACCCCAGUGUCAAGGAGCAAAAGGCCUUUGAGAAGAACAUUUUCAACAAGACCCAUCGGACUGACAGUGAAAUUGCCCUCUUGGAAGGCCUGACAGUGGUAUACAAAAGCAGUAUCGAUCUCUAUUUCUAUGUGAUCGGCAGCUCCUAUGAAAAUGAGCUGAUGCUCAUGACUGUUCUGAACUGCCUCUUCGACUCAUUGAGCCAGAUGCUGAGGAAGAAUGUAGAAAAGCGAGCUCUGCUGGAGAACAUGGAGGGGCUCUUCUUGGCUGUGGAUGAAAUCGUAGAUGGAGGGGUGAUCCUAGAGAGCGAUCCCCAGCAAGUGGUACACCGGGUGGCAUUAAGGGGAGAAGAUGUACCCCUUACGGAGCAGACCGUGUCUCAGGUAUACCUCUUCUCUCUUCAUCCCCCCAGUGGACUUGAAUUUUUUUGGAAUUUCCCAAACUGACAGUCCUCUAGGGCCUUAGAGAGCUUCUUCCCAUCCCUCUACCCUUGGGGAUUUUCUAUUUGCCAAUCUUCUAAGGACAGGGAAGGUGCUACAGUCAGCCAAAGAACAGAUCAAGUGGUCCCUCCUUCGGUGAAGACCCCACUGUUCCUGGCUCCUCACCCCCUCAAAAAAUCCACGUCGGCUGUGACUUGUCAUGCAGUCCCCCAAAUGAUGCUCUCAGGGUCAUCUUGGGGAUCACAGGGAUCCUUAAAUCUCCAUCCCGUCUGUUGUUGCCUCCUCAUUCCCACCCCAAACCCAUAUGCACUUCCCGUUCCUUCUCCCUGCUUUUGGCAGUUCUGGGAGUCCAUCAGGCUCUCAGUGGAUUUGGACAUGGGCAGGGGCAGCACCCUCUUCCUUUCUCCCCUGGAUUAGGCUCCCCUGUAUUUUCUCCUCCCUUUCUGUGCCCUUUGCUGCAGCUACGCUUCAAAGCAGGAGAAAGAAUGUGCUGAGUGUUUUCCUCCCUUUGCCUUUAUCCGAACAGCCCAUAUGUCCAGCAAGGGGAGGGAAAGGGAAUUCUUUUCUAUAGAAUGAGUGAGGGUGGGGAGAGGCAUAUCAGGUCUCUGCCACAGCCUGGCUGGGCUUGGUAUUUUCUCCCAUUUCUUCUUACUGCCCAGGUCUCCAGCCUUGGGAAAAAAGACUGGGAAUAACUCAUAGGCAGGGGACAGUGUGGAAGAAGCAGUGAUUUAAAUUUUAUUGGAGAGGGCCUAUAAAAUUCUUUAUUUCAAACACAGCUGAGUUUUUUUUUUACCCCAAUCCUGGCUUGUGACUUCAAGACUGCUGUGGUCUGUGAGUGUCCGUUGUGGGAGGGUCUGUCUCUUGGGCCAGUACCUUAACUCUCCACCUUCACUACCCGUGGGAUCUCCACCUGGCUUGUCCUCUCUGUGCCCUGGAGCAAAGCCAGUUCCUGAACUAAAACUCCAUUCUAGUCUUGGGAAGGAGAGUUUCUGCUCAGAACAGAGACAGGGUGGAAUUUAUGACUUGGGCCUCUGGACUCUCUCAGCCCCUUCUCUCCCCCAUAUGCAUUUCACUCCUCUGCCUUGGGUCUGCAGUCUCUGUCUGCUGCUUAACCCUGUCCUCUCUCUGCCUCAGCCUUACAUCCAGGCAGUAGGCCUGGGCGCCUUCCCUCCCUUGGUCACAGAGAGGCGCCUUUUUUCAGAAAACCUUGGGGAUUUGGAUUCCCCCAGGAAGACAGAGGAAGGAACAGCCACUGUUUCGUCUCAUCUCUCCCCCGACCCAAAACUUCCCACAAAAAACAUCUCAAGAAAUCUUCCUGAGACUUUGAGUUCUGCCCCACCAACUAACUGCCAAUUCUCCAAGAGUGUGGGCGGAUAACUGGGCAUCCAUCCUUGAGGGGGCAUUUCUGUGUAAGAGAUACGUGGAGUCAGGAUGGUAGCCACCUUCAUAUACUGCUCUGUGCAAAGAGGAAUAAAACAUUUCUUUUUCCAAA